ACAGAGGCCCCGGACACGGGUUACUGCAACAGCGGGAGCACCUCCUGGGAUUGGAGAUACUGGAGUGCGAAACAAACGCACACACAGAAGGAGCCAUUAUUAAAUGGAGCAUUCACUGGAGGUUCUGCUACCCGACUCCCGAUAUAAACAACAGGGGUUAGACAUUAAACUGUUGAGUUACUCAUCUUCAAAACUACGGUUAAACAGUGGCUAAAGUUCAGUGAGUCCUAAGAAACUAAACAUAAGGCAGAUGGGAACAGUUCAAUCAGUAACUGUCCUCAUCGCCAGCAGACAGACAGGACGCUGAAAUAGUUUGAGUAACACUUCCACAUUUGAGAUGUCCCAUGUGAAUGUCAACAAGAGGCAAAAUAUUCACUACAAGACAUUUUUGUUUCCAUUUCACAAAGUCCCAAUCCUAAUCCCUGUAACCUUUGGAAAAAUAGGCUAGUUGUUCACGUAAGAAGCUUGACGUCUUUACUUCCAAAACCAGAUUUGUGUGGGGUAACUUUAAGCUUGUCACAUGAUUUCUAGAGGAAGGCCGCCAGAGGAUCAGGCUCUUAUUUGUCUAAAAAUCUGCCUACUUCAGUACUGCUGCACUAACAAUGUCCCCCCCAGGCUACCACAGACAAACAACCGUUUAGCAGGUGAGCUGAGCUAUAUUAAUUUAGAGGCCAGCCAAUGAGCUCUGUAGAAUUAGCUUGGCUUACCGGCGCAGAUGUCUGUUUGUACGGUUGCAUUCAUUUACAGCAUUGUGGGUAGGUCUAUUCUCAGGGUUCAUAUCGGGAACCUAUCCCAUUAGCAGCGUUACCACAGCGAUGCAAAUGCUCUCACACAAACUCACUGAUGCUCUCCUACGCAAAUGUCACCUCUAUGCUAUAUGUGGAGCAGUGUGUGAAAAACAUUGUCACUCACAUAACUCAGGCUAACCAAGUGCACACCCAUGUUGUAUUGGCUAAGACAGCUGCUCUGGUCACAUGAGUGAUGAUUCUCUCAAGCUUCUGCUGCUGCAUAAGAGCACCUUUGUCAUGUAUGAAUACCAUACAAAAAACACUUAUCUCUAGGGGGGGAUAUCAUAAUGCAAGUAUCAUUGCUUCAGAUGCUCUUUAAACUAUGGAUAAAAAGAGAAAACUGUGUCAAAUGAUCGCAACAUAUUUUACACAAUGUAUGAAAACAUAUAUGCUGUUAUUGCAAAAAAUCUCCUGGGUAAACAGUCAUCGCUGGACUCAAAAUUACCCAUACCACCCCCCCUCGCAGUGCAGUGGAAAUUUCCUACGAGUCCUUCACCACACAAACAGCCUCGACAAAAAAUCAUGUUAGGACACGAAAUAGAUUAAAACACCACAAAGGUAAUAAUUCACAGGUUGUGUAAAAUUAUGCUGCAUAUUUUCAGUAGGGUCAACCCCACUCUAUAAUCUUAUUUCCAGUCAAUGAAUACAUUUAAAUUGGAAAUUCCCCAACAAAUAAGCAGUCUCCGGCUGGAGUCCAAUGGCUGGCAGAGGCUCACACAAUGGAGCAAAGGAGCAUGGUGCAUGGUGCAGGUUGUGUUUAACGCCGUCUCUGGUGCCUGCAGAACUGAAAACACUGUCAAAACAACCUCCUUCACUUCAAUACUGAGACACAACUGAAGGCUCAAAUCAGCUAUUAAUAUAGGAGUACAGGAAUUAAGGAGGGAGCGUUGGAGUGUCUGAAAACAUCAUAAG